GACGAACGCUGGCGGCGUGCCUAAUACAUGCAAGUAGAACGCUGAAGGAGGAGCUUGCUUCUCUGGAUGAGUUGCGAACGGGUGAGUAACGCGUAGGUAACCUGCCUGGUAGCGGGGGAUAACUAUUGGAAACGAUAGCUAAUACCGCAUAAGAGUAGAUGUUGCAUGACAUUUGCUUAAAAGGUGCAAUUGCAUCACUACCAGAUGGACCUGCGUUGUAUUAGCUAGUUGGUGGGGUAACGGCUCACCAAGGCGACGAUACAUAGCCGACCUGAGAGGGUGAUCGGCCACACUGGGACUGAGUCACGGCCCAGACUCCUACGGGAGGCAGCAGUAGGGAAUCUUCGGCAAUGGACGGAAGUCUGACCGAGCAACGCCGCGUGAGUGAAGAAGGUUUUCGGAUCGUAAAGCUCUGUUGUAAGAGAAGAACGAGUGUGAGAGUGGAAAGUUCACACUGUGACGGUAUCUUACCAGAAAGGGACGGCUAACUACGUG
rnacentral:rRNA from 1 species